rnacentral:rRNA from 1 species
CAGAGGUCCCGAGCGUUGUUCGGAUUCACUGGGCGUAAAGGGUGCGUAGGUGGCCUUGCAAGUUUGAUGUGAAAUCUCCGGGCUCAACCCGGAAAAGGCAUUGAAUACUGCGGGGCUGGAGGUUUGGAGGGGGGACUGGAAUUCUCGGUGUAGCAGUGAAAUGCGUAGAUAUCGAGAGGAACACCAGUGGCGAAGGCGAGUCCCUGGACAACACCUGACACUGAGGCACGAAAGCCGGGGGAGCAAACAGGAUUAGAUACCCUGGUAGUCCCGGCCUUAAACGGUGCGCGUUUGCUGUAGGAGGAAUCGACCCCUUUUGUGGCGAAGCUAACGCGAUAAACGCGCCGCCUGGGGAGUACGGUCGCAAGAUUA